UCGGCACCCGCUUCCUUAUUUGGAUUUUGGUUGAAAUUGAAAGUAAGUGAUCGUGUACAGUAUGUUUAGGGUGUAAUUCAUACACAAUCUGACAACCUGAGAGAUGUCAGACUAACAG